rnacentral:rRNA from 1 species
UGGGGAUUAUUGGACAAUGGGCGAAAGCCUGAUCCAGCCAUGCCGCGUGUGUGAAGAAGGUCUUCGGAUUGUAAAGCACUUUAAGUUGGGAGGAAGGGCAGUAAGCGAAUACCUUGCUGUUUUGACGUUACCGACAGAAUAAGCACCGGCUAACUCUGUGCCAGCAGCCGCGGUAAUACAGAUGGUGCAAGCGUUAAUCGGAAUUACUGGUCGUAAAGCACGCGUAGGUGGUUCGUUAAGUUGAAUGUGAAAGCCCCGGGCUCAACCUAGGAACUGCAUCCAAAACGGACGAGGUAGAGUAGUGCAGAGGGUGGUGGAAUUUCCUGGCUAGCGGUGAAAUGCGUAGGAAUAGGAAAGAACACCAGUGGCGAAGGCGACCACCUGGGCUCAUACUGACACUGAGGUGCGAAAGCGUGGGGGGCAAACAGG